CAUAAUCAUGAUUGAGAUGGGUCUUUGAAGUUCAUGUCUUGGAACCUCCAUUUCCUGGACUAUCAGAUGGAUUCAGUGAUACCUGUCACAUCACUGGGAUGGGCUGUUGUGAAGAGAGAAAAGGUUCUUUGAAAACAAAUUUGUCUGGGAGCUGGGCUGAGGUGCACGUGAUUAAGCGCAUGUAGUAUGAAGUGAAAGGACCCACACAAGGAUCUGGGUUUGAACCUCCUGUUCCCCACCUGAAAGGCAGACGCUUCAAAAGUGGUGAAGCAGGGCUACAGGCGUCUCUCUUUCUCUCUCUCCUCUCUAUCUUCCCAUCCCCUCUCAAUUUCUCUCUGUUCUAUCCGAUAAAAAUGUUCUACAGGAGCAGUGGAUUCGAGUACUGGUACUGAGACCCAGCGAUAACCCCAGAGGUAAAAACAAACAAAACAAAAGACAAAACAAAAAAAAUUGUUGAUAUUUCUCAUUUCCACAUCUGCCUUUUUCAUAGUUUCCUCAACAAGGAUGACAGGGGUGGACAGAUGGUAGUGGGCAGAGUCAGGGUGUGGGGGUGGAAGGCUAGAAGUGCUAGAGCUUCCUUUGAGUGGUGAGAGGACCUGAGUAGAUAUCACUGCGUUGGUGUGUGUCCCUUCAUCUCUGCAUCUUUAUUGAAACGUGUCCUCCUCACUUGCUGAAAAAGACUUCAGGGACCCCAGGAUUUCAUUUUAUCCCCUCAAGUUCAUCGAGGCUCAGUAAAUAUUGAUUGACUCAGUGAAUCAGUCCCGGAACCAAGCAUAUGAAUUUCCCUCAAGCUUCCCAACCUCGAGUGGCCUUUGUCUGCUUGUGUGUGUUCUAUCACAGGUGCCUGGAACCUAGGUCUCUUUUCAGUCAACAUUAGAGAACCCCACCCACCCAGUCCUGCCAGCACCAGGGUGGGGUAUAAAGAAUGAAGUCUCUAGAGAAGGACCCUGUGGUGGGAGGGAGUGGUGGUGGUAGUGGUUUAGAUGAUGAUGCUAGAAGACAGAAUGGGGAGACAGCCCCAUGGACCCCAAAGAGGUUCAUCCUUGGCUACAACAGACACAGAUGUAGUCACUUCUGGCCUCCCAAGCUCUGGUUCUCAGGCCAUCCCAGUCUUGCUUCUGUGUGGCCUCUUCCUCCUGGGUUCUGUUUUCUCCCUCAGGAGCAAAGGGAGCCUGUGGUGGAGGUCAUUGGGCCAGAGCUGGGGAGUCUGGGAGGCAGACUACAGAAGGAUUUCCUGGCUGUUUGCCUUUCCCUAGAACUGCCCUCUGCACUUUAUUAUUUAUUAUUAUUAUUUGCCUCCAGGGUUAUCACUGGGGCUCAGUGCCUGUACAACGAAUCCACUGCUCCUGUGGCCAUUUUAUUUAUGUAUUUAUUUAUUUUUAUAGGACUUGGUUAUGCAGAGAGACUCUCAUACCUGAGGCUCCAAGGUGUCAGGUUCAAUCCCCCAACAACCAUGAGCCAGAGCUGAGAAGUGCUCUGGCAAAAUAAGUAAAUAAAUAGAAGCUUGGGUUUACAUCUAUUACUGUUAAGAAAAGGAUUUUAGGGAGUCGGGCGGUAGCGCAGUGGGUUAAGCGCACAUGGCACAAAGCGCAAGGACCAGCAUAAGGAUAUGGAUUCUAGCCCCCGGCUCCCCACCUGCAGGGGAGUCACUUCGCAGGCAAUGAAGCAGGUCUGCAGGUGUCUGUCUUUCUCUCUUCCCCUCCUCUCUCUAUUUCUCUCUGUCCUAUCCAACAAUGACGACAUCAGUAACAACAACAAUGAAACAACAAGGGCAACAAAAGGGAAUAAAUAAAUAUUUAAAAAAGAGAAAAAAGAAAUCUAAAGAAAAAAGAAAAGGAUUUUACCCCCUCCUUUCUCAAUUUCUCUCUGUCCUAUUCAAUAAAAUAGAAAAAAAAAAAUGUCUGCCAAGAGUAGUGAUUCAUAGUGAUGGCACUGAGCCCCAGCAAAAACCCUGGAGGUGAUGAAAAAAAAGAGGGGGUUAAUUUACAUAUAUUAAUGCUAAGAAAGAAAUAAUAAUAUGACAUUUAAAUACUUAUGUUUAAGAAAAGAACUCUGAAAAAAAUGAGAAAAGAACUCUUGUUAACAUCUGCUGGUUAAGGAGAGAACUCUAGGGGCUAGGCAGUGGUGCACCCAGUUGAGGGCAGGUAGUACCCUGUGCAAAGACCAGGAUGUAAUAAGCCCCUAGGCUCCAUUUGCACGGGAGAAGCUUCACAAGUGGUGAAGCAGGGCUUCAAAUAUCUCUCUCUUUCCCUCUCUAUUUUAUCUACUUUUUUUUUUUUUUUUUUUGCCAGAGCACUGUUCAGCUCUGGCUUAUGGUGGUGUGGGGGAUUGAACCUGGGACCUGGAAGCCUCAGGCAUGAAAGUUGGUUUGCAUAACCACUACGCUAUCUCCUCCCUUUCCCUCUCUAUCUCUCCUCUCUCAAUUUCUCUCUGCCCUAUCAAGUCAAAAAUAAUAAACAAAUAUUUUUAAAAGGGGGGGCAGGCGGUAGUGCAGCGGGUUAAGCGCACAUAGUAUGAAGCACAAGGAUGUGCAGAAGGAUCCCCGUUCAAGCCCCCGGCUCUCCACCUGCAGGGGAGUCGCUUCACAGGUCUGCAAGUGUCUAUCCUUCACUCCCCCUCUCUGUCUUCCCCUCCUCUCUUGAUUUCUCUCUGUCCUGUCCAACAACAACAACAACAGCAAUAACAACAAUGAUAAACAAAGGCAACAAAAGGGAAAAAAUAGCCUCCAGGAGCAUUGGAUUGAAGAAAAGAAAAAGAAAGAAAGGGAGGGAGGGAGGGAGGGAGGAAAGAAAGAAAGAAAGAAAGAAAACAAGAAAUGAAGGAAUAAAGAAAGAAAAAGAAAACUCGGGGCCAGGCAGUGGCGCACCUGAUUGAGCACACGUGAUAGUGCGCAAGGACCCCAGUUCAAGCCCCAGGUCCCCACCUGCAGGGAGAGUUUCACAAGUGAUGAAGCAGGGCUGCAGGUGUCUCUCUGUCUCUCUCCCUCUCUGUCACCCCUUUCCCUCUUGAUUCCUGGCUGUCUCUAUCCAAUAAAUAAAGAUAAUACAAAAAAAAAAUUUUAAAAGAAAGAAAACUCUAAUCCUUUUUGCAUAUCCAGAACUAAAAGGGGAACACCCGGCUUUACAAAAUGGACUUUUUAUCACGUGACUGACUCAGAAGAUUCUGAAGCAUGUAAGCGGAAGAGAUGAGACUCUGGUAAAAGUAAGAUGACGCUAACUUAGGGCGUGGGGAGAUGACUUGUAAGUGAUUUAAGUAACUAACCUCUCCAUUCGUGUGUGUGUGUGUGUGUGUGUGUGUGUGUGUGUGUGUGUAUGUGUAUGUUGGGAAGAGAGCAGACUUGAAAGAUAGACCUCUUCCCCCCAUUAGUCAAUAGGUCUUUUAAAAUAAAGUUUUGCUAAUUUUGGCCUUCUUUACUCACAGAUAUGUGUUAUUGAUUAAAAAAUUAAAACAAAAAAAAAACUUUUCCCUCCCUCUCUGUUUUACCAACAGCCCCUGUAGAAGGUUGGCAUAAGGAGGUCCAGGCUCCUAGGGAAGUAUUGAGAGUUCUUGAGGAGCAGUGAUCAAUGUACUGGUACAAAAAGACCCUUCUGUGCCAGAUCUCCUUGCCAUUUCCUCCUACCUUGCCAUUUGCCUAACUUUAAUAAGUCACUAGAAGGAAGUGGAGGCAGUGUGUAGAAUGUUCCUUUUUGCCUCUGCUCUUACUUCAGUAGAUGCGGAUCCAUGUGGCAUAGUGUGAACAGUUAUUCUUAAGGUGCACAUCUCGGAUUCUCAGACCCCCUCCCCAAACCUUGGCCAAUUGGAAGAUUCUUGAGGUACUUUGUCUUCUGAGUGAGUCAUUCAAAUACAAUCGUCUCGUUGCAGUUUUAAUCUCUUGUCCCAUACAUAUCUAUCUAUAUAGUCUUUAAUAUUUAUUUUGGAUAGGAACAGAGAUAAAUUAAGGAGGAGGAGAUAGAGAGGUAGAGAGAGAGAGAGACAGAGAGAGAGAGAGAAAGAGCUGCAUCACUGUUUCACUAUUUGUGAAGCUUCCCUCCUGCAUAUGGGGACCCAGGGGCUUGAACCCUGGCCUCUGAGCACUGUUAUGUGUGUGCUCAACCAGGUGCACAACUGCUCGGCCUCUACAAAUCUAUAUUCAAGGCUGUAUAUGAGCUAAUUAAUGUUGAUUUUUUUUCUAGCGUGCCUGCAUAUUUGUGCUGUGUGCUUUCAGGAACGCAAAAGUGAAUCACCUUCCUUGCCAUGCCCUGUGUGAGAUGGUGCUGACAUUGGCAACAUCAAGGACUGAUAAUUCCAUGGAACUUCUGGAAAAACUGUUAUCAGAAAAUUGGAGAACAACACAUGACCCAAGACAAAAUGAAUGAGGAAAAGCUGGGAGGUGAAGGAGCUAGUAAUCUAGGUCAGGGUGAAGAAAGUGACUCAUCUGUGGCCUUUGGGGACUGGGAUCACUGAUUCUGAGGAACAGAGAGGUUUGAAAUACAGCACAGGGACAGAUAGGCUCCAGCCAGAGCUCUCUGGUCCAGCCCCACCCAGACUUGGCUGCCCUGACCCUACAGUGGAACCCAAGCAACAGCGCCGCUGAGUCCACUGCUCCCCUCGAGCCAGCUGCUUGCUCCCAGAACAGGGCUCCAGAGAGAAUGAUACUCCUAAGAGCAGACAGACAGUGUUGGGAAAAGUGUCUGCCUCCCAAUACCUGCCUUAUCCUGGUUUUGCCACAAGCAAAAGCUCCCUUUCAUUUGAAAGAGGCAGGAAAUUUGAAAGGGCCAGCAGGAAAUCUAUCUAGACCUGUUGAGCUGCCUUUAAUAAGAAAGAAGGAUUUGUCCUUCUCUUGUUGGCAUUUAACAUGAUGUCUUCAAGUACCAUCCAAGGUGAGGCAACAGAGAUGACUUUAACAGCUCAUUGAAAGUAAGUGGAAAUCAAGGGGCUCCGUUGAGUACACCUGCCACCAUGCACCAGGAGCACUCAGUCAACUGCACCUGUUACCAUAAGCAAGGAUUCGGGUUCGAUCUCCCCACUCCCACCCCACCCCCACCUGUAGGAAGGAUUCUUCAUGAGUGUGUGGGGUUGGAGAGGGGCCCCAAAUAUUGAUAGCAGCUGUUGACCCGAAACCAAUUGUUCCUUGUUCCGUGUGGAUAUUUCCACCUGUGCCCACCCUGUGAUAACCAUAAAAAGGUGGAACGAGAAGUGAUUGGGGUCGCAGACUCUCCCCUCUCUCGGAAGGGUGUCAGCAGCCCAAGCUUAAGCAUCCUAAUAAAGGCUCUUGCUCUUGCA